ensembl:lncRNA
AUUUCUUUCUGGAGAUCCCUUCCUUGUGGAGUUUCUUCUGUAAACCUAGAUCCUCAGAGGUAUGAAAAGAAUCAUGGAGAUCAGUUAGUGAAUUUAUAUAUUUCCAGAAGUGGGAACUGACAACAUGGAAACCUCUACUGCUAACAGCAUAUAUGUGAACAGUGCACUGGAGGCUGCUCUGGAUGUUACUCCAAGGUAGGACAGCAGUCACUGCACCACUCUGGCAGCAUCAAAAGGUGAGGGAAAGUUUGAGCAGCCUGGGGCAUCCUGGGACAAUUGCCGCCUCAGCCUGAAUCCUGGGGCUCAUGUGUCUGGAGGGGCCUACAGUAUUGGGUACUGGUUUUGGAGGACAGAUCAGAUGCAUUUGAAAUAUACUGUGUUUGUCUGGGACUUAAACGUGAAAAGGGAAAAUAUCCUUGAAUAGGUUUUAAUCUGUGUUAAGUCAUUGAUAUGAUAGCAGUAUUUGGAGCAGAGGCUUAAACACAUACAAGUUUGUGUUCAAGAAAAGUGAAGCACAGAGCACUUUCAGCCAUAAAGGCAUCUUAAGCAAUUUAUCUUACCUACUUGGCAUAAGGCACACGCUUUUAUUCUCCUCCACUAAUAAAACCAACAAAUGUACUUCUCCUUCAACAAACAGUAUUUCACAAUAUACACUAAAUCUUCUUACUUUUCUGACCUUCUGAGUAGAGUGAGCGGCUUUUAUUUCAGUUUGAUGCAAAGCAUCUCCAGCUCUUUACUGAGGACACCUGUAUUUAAUCUAUGGAUGGUCUCAGAAUUCUUUUAUUCUCAGCAAGAGAAGGCUGCAGUCAUGCAACUCAGAUGUGAAAGCCAGUCUAAAUCACUCACCGGGUCUCAUUUGCAUUGAAAGCCCACAUCUAUCACAUGGACUCCUGAACCAAUUCAAUCUAUGAUAUAAAACAAUGAAAACUCAGUAAAAUGUUCUGUUGACAUCCCACAUGUACAGAGGUCCUGAAGCUACUUAGUACGUCUGUGUUACUGGCUGCAGUAUAACAGACAAAUACUUAAAGGAGACUUAAAUGAGCAACAUUAGGUACCAUUAGCAGUUGAGGGAUAAUAAUGUGAAGCUCAAGAAAGGCUCAUUUAUCUAACGAGAAGUGCUUCCCGUUACAAACAUACUUAGAAGGUAAUGAUGAGCUUUCAUGCCAAAGCCCAUAAGUAUUUCCAGAGGUUUCAUAAUACAAGUUGUGUUAUUACCCAAUCAUACUACUUAAUGUGCUAGCUCAGCAGAACACACGAGUGUAUUCAGCAUACUCUAAUGUUACUGACGUUUACAGAAGUUUGUAGGUGGUAAGUCCUUUGUCAAAGAGACAGAAAUGAAGCCACAUGUGAUUGAAUCAGUUUUCAGCUGAACACAUUUUCAACUGCAACUGGUUGAGAAAGCAAGCAUUUCUUUCAGACUGUUCUAAAGAAAUCCAGUUUGAAGUCUUCUGUAUUCAAUCAAAUAAACACCAGAGUUUGUUUCUUCUUUCUCCCAUUUUUCAUGCCCUCUAUCUCCAUUUCCCCUCACUUUCGCUUUCUUGUUUAACUUUACUUCAACAAGCACAGGUCAUUAACUCAGGUAACAUGGGAAUCUGUCUCCAAAAGAGGCGGUGGUAAAAUCUGCAAUGGCAUCAAUAGAGCUUUUUUGUUGUAUUUAUUUCAGCAAAGUUCUCUUAAAACGUAUUACAAUAUAAUAUUAACAGAAGUGUCUAAAUGGUAUUUUUAAACACAAGGUACUAUUUCAAAGUAGGAAAUUUUAUUAAAAAGCACCACUUGAAACUAGUGUCAUUUUCACAGUGUACUGCCAUCUGCACAGACCACAGAACAAAGGGAAUGAUCCAAAAUAUUAAAAUAGUUGAUGCAUUCUACCCAGUUUUGACUUCAGAAAGCACGAAAGUGUACAGGUAAUAAAAUAUAUCCAGGCAAACUCCCUCAAAUUGCAAAAUGGUUGAUAUUAAGUGAUGCUGGUUUUUGUAAGGCAGAUCCUUUUUCCUCUUAUGUGAGCAGCACUACACAACCUAAAUUAUUCUUCUCCUGUAAUAGUCACAUUUUCCACAACAUUUCCCAUUGUCUGCAUAAGUAAAACAUUCACCUUUCUGUGAAGGCUGCUUUGAAAGUAAUGCUUCCUAUCCUAUUAUCUUGACCCAUGCUCUCAGAGGUGGAUGUUGGUGGUAUGGCAGUAGAGGUUGAACCUUCCCACCAACAUCCCAUUAUUUUUUGCCAUGACAGACAGCAGCAGAGGGGCAGUCUGACAGAAUGGUGUCUGACAUGGAAGUGUAGAUCAAACAAACGUGUGUCGUUGUACACCUCCAUGUGGAACAAAUUGCACCUACUGAAAUUCAUUGACUUGCUGAACAUUUACAGAGCCCUAGUAGUGGAUGUGGGCAUGGUGAUGGGGUGGGUGGUGUGUUUCAGCAGUGGUGACAGUGGGUCACCUCCACUGGUGCAGAUUUUGACAAGCGCAGCGUACAGGCUCUUGUUCAUCACUGGCAAAACAUGUGGCUAAUAGUGGUGACAGUGUUUAAAGAUACCUGUUUUGUAGCUUAGAAUUUGUUCUAUCAAACAGUGUUACUGUGCUCUUUGUAUCAGUUGUAGUUUCCAUGGAAAUAAAUAGGAGGC